GCGUGUGUGAAGAAGGUCUUAGGAUUGUAAAGCACUUUCGGCGGGGACGAUGAUGACGGUACCCGCAGAAGAAGCCCCGGCUAACUUCGUGCCAGCAGCCGCGGUAAUACGAAGGGGGCUAGCGUUGCUCGGAAUGACUGGGCGUAAAGGGCGCGUAGGCGGUUCGCAUAGUCAGGCGUGAAAUUCCUGGGCUCAACCUGGGGACUGCGCUUGAUACGUGCGGGCUUGAGUGAGGAAGAGGGUCGUGGAAUUCCCAGUGUAGAGGUGAAAUUCGU
rnacentral:rRNA from 1 species